UCUAACACGACGACACUGAGUGACUUGGGACAGCCCCCAGAUGUAGAUCUGACAAGGCCGUCACUUGGCAAUGACCCCACUAGGCCUUUCAGGCACCAGGCUGGCUGUACAGUUUUUUGGAAGGGAAAAGCAGCUGUCUUUCUUUCCAGGAGUGGUUCUGCACCUAUUCAGACUGACAGAUGAGCAGAGCUCCAGUUGGGUCCAAGUUCUGUCAGGGGCCCAGAGUGAACUGGGAGGCCCUCCCUCCUGAAGAAUCUGACAAGGCACCAGCUUCCUGGAAUGUCCCCUCCCUGUUCUGCUUCAGCUGAAAACAGACUCUGGAAGAGAAGCUGAUGGGCAUACUUUCACGACCCCGAUCCUGGUAAUCUCUACACCUGAUGUGAGUCUCAAACUCAACCCUGAGAUGAAGAGUCACACACUCCACCAACUGAGCCAGCCAGCGAUCCCCUGAAUCUUCCUUUCUGGAGUGCAAGAAAGACAACCAUCUAUCUUUUCCACCAAGAUAAACAUACAAAGACGUGCUUCAACACUGUCCUUAAUCCCUUCAGAGUUGAUUUCAUGUGAGUGGUGUUAAAUGGGCGUCCUGUUCCAUUUUUAAUCCAUAUGUCUGUUUUUCUAGUUCCAGCUACUGAAUAGUUCCUCUUCCCUCCCCUCCACUAGUAUGGCAUAACUAUUAAUAUUGUAUUUCACACCGAAUCUUCAUAGGAAGAAAACAUUUUUCACUCAUAGUCCUAAUAAAAUAUUAUGUUGACAUAG